CACAGAGAACACACACUAACCUGCCUUGCUAUAAACACCCAGGAAGAAAUUAUAUCAGUCUCAGGUUCAGGGCUUCAGUUUGUAAUAGUAUCCCCUCACCACACCACAGAGAACACACACUAACCUGCUCUGCUCUAAAGACAUGUUUGAGUACUAAGAGAACAUUCCACAUUAGCAGCAGCCCAGACAGUUAGUUAGACAGUUAGUUAGUUAGACAGACAGUUAAGUAGUUAGUUAUUUAGUUAGACAGUUAGUUAGUCCAUUAGUUUAUUGACAAAAGUUGAAUACAUAAUACAUACAAAACAAGGUACACAUUUACUUGACCCAGAAUGACAUCAAGGAAUCAGUUCUUGUCACACCCGGCCAAGAGUUAUGCCAUGGAAACACUCACUCACACACAACCACUUAGACUUUCAGUGAUGCCAGGCCCAGAAUGACAUAAGAAAUUCAGUUCUCGUCACACCCAGCCAAGAGUUAUGCCAUGGAAACACUCACUCACACACAACCAAUUAGGCUUUCAGUGAUGCCAGGCCCAGAAUGACAUAGGGAAUUCAGUUCUCGUCACACCAAGCCAAGAGUUAUGCCAUGGAAACACUCACUCACACACAACCAAUUAGACUUUCAGUGAUGCCAGGCCCAGAAUGACAUAAGAAAUUCAGCUCUCGUCACACCCAGCCAAGAGUUAUGCCAUGGAAACACUCACUCACACACAACCACUUAGGCUUUCAGUGAUGCCAGGCCCAGAAUGACAUCAAGGAAUCAGUUCUCGUCACACCCAGCCAAGAGUUACACUAUGGAAACACUCACUCACACACAACCAAUUAGGCUUUCAGUGAUGCCAGGCCCAGAAUGACAU